rnacentral:rRNA from 1 species
UGGGGAAUAUUGGGCAAUGGGCGCAAGCCUGACCCAGCAACGCCGCGUGAAGGAAGAAGGCUUUCGGGUUGUAAACUUCUUUUCUGAGGGACGAUAGUGACGGUACCUCAGGAAUAAGCCACGGCUAACUACGUGCCAGCAGCCGCGGUAAUACGUAGGUGGCAAGCGUUAUCCGGAUUUACUGGGUGUAAAGGGCGUGUAGGCGGGACUGCAAGUCAGAUGUGAAAACCAGAGGCUCAACCUCUGGCCUGCAUUUGAAACUGUAGUUCUUGAGUGUUGGAGAGGCAGGCGGAAUUCCUAGUGUAGCGGUGAAAUGCGUAGAUAUUAGGAGGAACACCAGUGGCGAAGGCGGUCUGCUGGACAGCAACUGACGCUGAGGCGCGAAAGCGUGGGGAGCAAACAGG